AAGAGUGCUAGAAUAGCAAUGUUAUACCAGUUCUCGUACGAUCACUAAAGUUAAGCAACGUUGUGCGUGGUCAGUACUUGAACGGGUGGUCAGCACUUGAACCACCUGGGAGUUCACGUGGUGUUGGUU
rnacentral:rRNA from 1 species